rnacentral:rRNA from 1 species
AGCGAACGCUGGCGGCAGGCCUAACACAUGCAAGUCGAACGAAGUCUUCGGACUUAGUGGCGGACGGGUGAGUAACACGUGGGAACGUGCCUUUAGGUUCGGAAUAACUCAGGGAAACUUGUGCUAAUACCGAAUGUGCCCUUCGGGGGAAAGAUUUUUCGCCUUUAGAGCGGCCCGCGUCUGAUUAGCUCGUUGGUGAGGUAAAGGCUCACCAAGGCGACGAUCAGUAGCUGGUCUGAGAGGAUGAUCAGCCACAUUGGGACUGAGACACGGCCGAAACUCCGACGGGAGGCAGCAAUGGGGAAUCUUGCGCAAUGGGCGAAAGCCUGACGCAGCCAUGCCGCGUGAAUGAUGAAGGUCUUAGGAUUGUAAAAUUCUUUCACCGGUGACGAUAAUGACGGUACCCGGAGAAGAAGCCCCGGCUAACUUCGUGCCAGCCGCCGCGGUAAAAC